GUCUUUAUAGUUUAAUGGCAAAACUUUGUACUGUUAAUACAACAAUUUGGGUUCAAUUCCUAAUAAAGACG